GGUCAGGAGAGCAGGAAGGAGCUGGACCGCAAGGCACGCGAGGGCGAGACCGUCGUCCCCGGCGGAACCGGCGGCAAGAGCGUCGAGGCCCAGGAGCACCUCGCCGAAGGUAUACGUAAUACUAAUAACCAACUGCCAGCAGUGCCAGCCACUCCAGUUUCCUGUUGUUAUUGGCUUUAUUAAUUGUGCCUCGACGUCGUAUGCAUGCAGGGCGCAGCCGCGGGGGGCAGACUCGCAGGGAGCAGCUGGGGCAUGAGGGGUACAGCGAGAUGGGGAAGAAGGGCGGUCUGAGCAGCACGGAGGAGUCCGGCGGCGAGCGCGCCGCCAGGGAGGGUGUCGACAUCGACGAGUCCAAGUUUAGGACCAACAAGCAGUCCUAGACGCGUGCGUCCCUAUACGCACUACGUACGCAGCGCUCGUAUCUGUCUGUCAGUGUACCUUGUGGCUGUCGUAGCUAGUACUGUCUAUUUGGAGAAGUAGCAGAAUAAUAAUAAUGUAGGGUGCCUCAGCAUGCGUGUAGGCGAUCAUGCAUACGUACAUGUACGUGUGUAUGAUCAUGUGCGUGCUUCGAGAAGGGUUCAGUUAGUUCCUAAUCAUGUCAGUCGUCAAAGUUCAGUUAGCUCCUAUAAUCAUGUCAGUCGUACGUCAGGGGAAGGUUCGCUUCAUCAGGCUUUGUAGUUUGCUAGCCUGUUUGUUUCUAUGCAUGCGCGCGUGUCCGCCUCUCGACAAGUGGCCGGUUGAGCAUGCAUGCAUAGUCCUCUGUUAAGGACGCUUUGUAUCCAUGUUUCCAUGGCUCCUAAAUAAUCAGUAAUGUAAAGCUAGUUUGGCGGUUCCUCGUCAUAUCUGCGGCUGAUUUGCGCUGGUUUCUCUCAAUUGUCUCAAUGUUGUGUUAUCACCACGUCGUCGGCUUUUCUAUCUUGAUAGUACGUACGUACUACUGCGAACACAAAACAGGAUGAAAUCAGCUACUAUUUUAAAUGUUCGAACUUUGAACUCAUGGUCAUUAGUGUAUAACGAGAUGAAAAUUAUCUUUAAGACUGUCAGGUUCACAACAUAUAUACCGAUAUAUGAUCGAAGCGUCAUUUGGCUCAUUUCUACACAUGGACCUUCACCAAUAAAUUCUACUCCCCCGACCAACUAGCAAAGAAGUUUUUGUCGAACUGUUUUUUUUUCAAUAAUGGUGUAUACGGUGGAAAGGGAAAUGAGAACACUAGUAUGGCACUCUUGGCAUUGCUCGUCUUUGACUCAGUAUGGGAGAGGACGACGACGACAGCGUUAGGACAAGAUCGACGAGUUGCGGGAGGCUGCUUAUUAUUAGAGGUGGAGGCGGCGGAACCCUAUCAUGAUAUAGGCUAGCAAACCCUAUCACGCUACAGAACCAAGCACAGCUGCACAGACAGGGUCACAUCCGAAGUAAUUAAUAAUUAUAAAAGGCAUGAAAUAAACACAUUCAAACUGUAGGUAACAAUUUAAUUAUUAUAAUGUAAACUUAAUACCCUUAGAUUUAUAAUUAAAUUUAAAUAAUAUAAAAUAAAUAAAUAAAUAAACAAACAAUAUAAUUUGAAAUACCAUCAAACCAAAUUAUGUCUUAUAAGGCGAUCCAUGAAGUAUUAAAUAUAGACGAAAAUAAAAACUAAUUGCACAGUUUGAUUAGAAUUGAAAGACGAAUUUUUUGAGCAUAGUUAGUCUUUGAUUGGAUAAUAUUUGUGAAAUACAAACAAGUGUUACAGUAUCGGUUUUUUUAAAAAAAUUUGGAACUAAAUAAGACCUAAAUGAUUAUAAAGGAGUCCGGGUACGGUUGACAAGAAGGGGCGGCCCUACGCGAUAAAUUAAAGAUCAUUUCCUUCAGCCUUGGAUGUGAGAAGACUUUGUUUCUGAUAUGAGAAAUGAUUUCUACUAUUUCUCCUCUCUUUUACUUUCAUCCUUAUCUCGGUUGCUACAUUAACAAAAAUGCUUAGGAGCAUAGUAUCUAAUGCCAUGGUUUUAAGUAGUUCAAACUUAAAAAUUAAAAGCUAACUCUCAUCUAAGCUAACUCUCAUCUAAAAUAACUAUUGGAUGUGAGAAGACUUUCACUAGUACAGAGAGAUACUAUACUGGCGGUUCGCAACCCCUUUGUACAGGCGGAUUGACGAACCGCCAGUGGCUAUAGGCCUGUGGGCGGUUAGCUGAGAACCGUCUGUAGAAACCGAUUUCUACAGGCGGUUCAGUUAUGUGAUCCGCCUGUGGAAAUCAAUUUCUACAGGCGGUUCUUUUAUGUAAACCGCCUGUAGAAAUUGGAUUCUACAGCUCAUAACAGAACCGCCUGUGGUAAGAUUUUCCAAUUUAACCCUAUUUUGCAGCAAACCCUAUUUUUAAUAUUACAUAUAUAUUAUAUACAUUAAUAUUGAAACUAUGUUAGGCUACAAGAUUCAACAAAUACAACAUGCAAUAUAUUUAUAUAUACCAUUACUUUGUACAUAAAAUUAUAUUAAUUACAAACAUCACACAUCAAAGUUUAUGAGGUUUCACAUCUGAAACCUCUGCUCUAAUAACCCGAUCGAGAUAGCUUUAGCCAACUAAUAUCUCUUAGUGCUCUAAACUCAGGCUUUGCUAGGACGCUAGUCGGGUCGUGAUAUUUCCCUUCGGUGGGAAUGGCUUCUCUCAAGAGAAAAGUGCAAAGGUCCUCAACUAUGUUGUAUAGAACAACUUGAGUCACGCUCUUCGUCUUUUCCAACUCAUGUUACUGCAGAGGAAGUUAGAAACAUCAUAAAUUUAUAGUUCAUAUAACACAUGCUUAGCAACAAAAAAUGACAUAAUUAUAUAAACGACUAUUAGAGCAAUACCUUAGAAGGGUUAGUUACAUAUCUUCCGGUCUCUCCCAUGAACUCGCAGACGUAGAAUCCACAGUGGACCGAUCCGACUGUUUGCUUAUGGCACUGAUGUAUGACGAAAAAGUUGAUAUUUAUUAGUUGCAACAUCGUCAUAUGCAUAUUAUAUUUAUAAAAGAUAGCUUGUGAUAUUUUGGUACGUACCGGCCAUUUAUAAAAUAAUCUCAAUGGCUGCCCCGGUUCUGAUGAAUCGCACCUUCCACCUUUGAUCUUAUAAUACCUAUAGGCCCUAUAGUAUCGAAUACACAAUCCUCAAGUUAUUCUGAAACUCUUAUAAAAGUAGAUAUGAAUAUUUAAUGUAGUCAGCUUACCGUUCCAAGUGUGUAAUGAAUUUAGCAUAACUUGAAGGAUCAUAGUCUGUAGAGUCUAGGACUAGCACACGUCCUAGACUAGGAUUAAUGAGGAGGCAGAUCCAGUGGUCCCUGAGAGAAUCGAAUUUAUGAUGCAAGUGCCCAUUGAAAUUACUAAUACGACGCAUCAUAUAAAUUGACACUUACCCAAAGUUGUAUGGGGCAACAACACAUUCUCGAUCUUGAUACUUGAGCAGUGCCAAGACUAUGUAGAGGUCGUAUUUACAUUCAUAAUCUAGUCGAUUUUCAUCUAUUAUCUUCUUACGAUCAGCGGGAUCCAAACCUUCUAAGGAGUCGUGUUUGUCUCCGAUUCUGAAGUUGUGCUGCUCCUCGCUUAUCUUCAUCGGGAUCAGAUACGCAACCCUUUUACUGGCAGACCUAUCCGGAUCCGAACCGUACCGCAUCUCUUGUUGUUCAAAAUUCAUUCUGCAAUGAGCGCUUGUAUGUUAGAUGUUGAAAAUUGAUGCAACUCAUGAAUUAUAACACAAGAUAGUACGAGUGACACUUACAAUGCAAACACGGUUACCAGCUGCACGUCUAGUCUCUGCAGGUUCAUCAUUAGCCACAUGUCCUCGAAGGUAACGAUUGCCUUUGUACGCUCACUGUUGAAUGCUGUUGGUGGUAUAAUCACAUUGAUCGUGUCAAUGCCUACAGAAGCUGCUCUCAUAUACCAGUCAUGCAUCCUUUUUAUACCAGCUGGGAUCUUUUUGCGUUUGUCCCAACUAAGUAGUGGUCUACCUAGCUCAUAUUUAGUAGGGACAUAUUUGUAAUCAUCCUUCGUUGGUGGUGUAACAUCCCAGAUUUUUACGUAAACCAAAAAUAUGAGCUUUUUAAAAUUUUUCCUGUAACCGUGCGAAGCAUAUAGUUUUUAGGUCUAACUCGAUCUUAACCCGCUAACAAAUCGUGGCAUACAUGUACAUUGUUUGACGAGUGCUCUUAUUCGUGAGUCGUCUUAAGUUGGGUCUUGUUUAGGGUUUUGAGUUUCUUUUGGAGUGCACAAAUCCGUAGCAAAGUCUUCCCAAAUCUUCGUUGAGCCUAUCUCAAAGGCUAAGCGAAUCCCUUCUCAACCUUCUCCAUUGGAGUAAUUUUCAAAACUCCAUUGGACUCUUCUCGAGCUCCUUUCAAAUCUACUCUCGAAUCUCUGUCGUAUUCCUUCGAGUCUGUUUCAAUAUCUAUAUAUUUGAAUCUCCUUCAAAUUCCCUUGCUCAUAAAUGGAGGAUUUCCUUUUCCUUUCUCUUGGGCCGAAUCUCCCUCCAUUUCUUCACGCGGCCCAGCUAGCUCUCCUCCUCCCUCUCCUUGCUCUGGCCCAUACCUUCCCCCUCUGACCCUGCACGUGGCCCACUCCCUUUCCUUCUGGCCUGCUAGCGCCACCGGCCCAACCCCUAUCCCCCAGCACCCCCCCCCCGUAGCCCAGCUCCCUCUCUGGCCCAAGCCGCGGCCUGCCUGGCCCAGCCACAGGCGCCUCAGCGCCAACCCUAGGAGCGCGCCCCUGCUCCUCCUGAGCCCCACCGCCGCACCCGUACAGCGCCGCACCCGUGCCUUGGGUGCCCGUGCCGCUGCUGGAUGUGCUCCACGCGUCCCUAGGUGGGCGCGGACGCCGAGGAUGGCCACAACAUCCCUAACCCUAGGUGCCACCCCUAUAAAAGCUAUGAGCAGCGCCUCCCUACACCUGGUACUCCGCAACGCCGACGCCGCUGUGCCUCCGCCCUGUUGCCGUCGCGGCGCCGCCGCUCCGUCAAGUCAUGGCCGAGCGCCACGUCCUCGACGCGCUCCUGCUCCAGGCCGCGAGCACCACCUCGUCACACCCUGUCGUUGCAGCAGGGUCGUGGCCGGGAGCAGCGCCACUGUAACAGAACCGACCAAAUUAUAAGAGAUUAAGCCUGAUAGUGACCAUUUGCGUAGUCGAACUAUCACGCUUAAGCCCAUAUAAUCCCGGUAGUCCGUGAAAUCUCGAAGGAUUUCAAACCACACUUCACAUAACAGCCAAGAUCGUAAUAAGUUUAGCGGUCGCCAUCCACAAGUACAUCCAGAUUACAACAUUCAUAAAAUACAUCGGAGUGCUUAAAGUUAUUACAAACCAAGUUCUUCAAGUAGCGGAAGCUUCAUAAUUCGAAAAUACAACACACACGAUAAGUCUGGUACAGUGCCAUAGUUCGGUCAUUCCCACAAAAGCAAAGGAAGAGACGGAGUGACCAUCGCCCUUGGUCUAGUCAUCACCCAUAGCUGGGUACAGACAGAGGAUGCAAUAACCAUAAUACAUUUGACCAUCUGCAAAACAACAUGGGAAUAGAACCCUGAGUACAAGAAGGUACUCAGCUAGACUUACCCGUCAUAACUUAAAAUAAAGACUCAUCAAGGAUCAUGAAGGCUAUAUAGUGGGGUAGCUGACGACAUCUUUGCAAAACCGCAGUAUUUCACUAACGUAACUUACCUAAGUCUUUCUUCUUUUAAUUAGCUCAAGUUGACAGUAUGAUUACCUAUUAUCUAGGUUUGCUCUUGUGCUAUUACAAACAAGUGUGAGACUAUGAUAGAACCUCAUCAUAGCACUUCUUAAACCAUUCAUCAUUAUAACCCAAGUGUUCCAUAGUCCUUACUACGAGGACAGGGCUCAUGUCAAGUGCUCACUAUCCAGGAGCGAUGGCGAUUCGAAUCGAUUUCUGACCAGCUGGCGAGUUUAUUCCCCACACAAACCACACUCACUGAUCAAGUGAGCUACAGGUCACCGUGUUGCACUAUCCAGGACCAAUUCGCGGGUUCGACAGGCACCGCCCGUACCCGAGGACCGUUCCGGCGACCGAGGUAUCCAAGGUAUACCAAGGUUGCGCGCCGCGCCCUCGUCGUUCUCCUCAACCAUCACCAAUACAGCGCGUACAUCGGGCCGAUUCCCGGCCCGGAUAGUGCUCAGGCUUCGCGGUCGGAACGACUUAUCCUUCCAGCUAAAUGUGGGGCAUGCGUUCAACAUGACAAGAGGGCCGUCAACGAUCGGUCCUUAAUCGACACAGGCAGGGGCACUAUGGGCAACCCACCAUAAGACCCUGCCCAGUCUCCAAUUACAUUCCACACUCGGUUAUUUCUUUCCCCAAGCAACUAUUGCUUAAACAAACGGGUAUCCACCUAUAUCUCGCAGGUGACAGGGAAUCACCCGACUUCUACCGGACUAAGCAGGCUAAGCAUAGACUCCGCGCCUAUCUACAUAGGACAAGGUGGAUAAACGAGUAGGGAUAACAAGGAAUACAUAUGCAACAACGGUAUCAAGCAACUCCUAUUACUUAUAUGCAAUAUAGUAGAACAAGUGUAAUAUACUUAGUAGGUUAGCGAGACUAGGGAGACUUAGAAUGCUCCGGGGCUUGCCUUUCUCAAACGUGCUGGGUCGGUGAUCCGGGCACUCUUGCAGUUCCUCUCCGGGCUCUUGUACUUCCGGAGGUUCCUGCUCCUGAAGCUCCUCGGGUUCCUCGGGUCUCACUUCGUUCUCCUGCGAGCCUGUAUGAUGCAUAUAUGCUCAUGAGUGGAGUGCGAGAUGCCCGAGUGGAUGCUUAUAUGAGAGAGUACCAAAAGAGUCAUGUUAUGAUGCAUAGGUAAUGCACUUGAUCAUGCUCAUUACAAGGUAGUCAACAUCAUCCAAGAAUAAACAAUUGAAUCAAACAUCUAUUAUAUUCUCUUCUAUAAUUAUUUUUCAAAUGACAUCAGCAACCUACAUGGUGCUUCAAAGAUACACCAAACCUAACUCAUUCCAUUCCACCUAUAUAUACAACCAUUUAUAGUUUUCUUUAUUCAUUCCUAAGCCCAUUAAAAAUCACAUGCAACUCUGUUCAUCAAUCAAUUCCAGAAAAAUUACCGGAGACUACUAGCUAAUCAUAAAGUCUACUGUGAAUUUUUCAUAAUUUUUGGUUACCUAUUUUGAGUCACCAAAAUCACAUGAUUACUGCUUAAGGCCAGUAAAAUCACCCUACUGUGAUAUAAGUGUCAAACAACAGAUGUCAUAUUUUACAAUUUACCUAAUAUCAUAAGAAACAUCCACAAAUUUUCCAGAUUUAUGGCAUGACUCCAUUAAUUUUUAAAAUCAUAAAGCACUGCCAUGCAAGCAUUUAAAUUGCCAUAAAUUCAUUUAUACACCAAAUAAUAUGUAACAAUAUUUUCUCAGUGAGUAAACACACAUGCAAAGCCAACAAAUCAAGUUUCACAUUUUUCUGAACCAUAUUUUAUUUAUUAUGCAUUUUCCAAGUUUAACAAAAACAUGGAUUAAUUAUACUUACACAGAAAAGUUACUUAAACAUGACAUGCAAUCAUACUAGGAUGUAGAUCUGGAAAUAAGGAACACACCAAAAUUUAUUUCACCAUUUUUGGAGCUAUAUUCAUCAAGAUAUGGAUUUUUAAACAUUUAAAUCAUUUCCUGGGAAUUAUUUUUCUGAAAACAAAACAAAAUCCAUCCCGAGACCUGCUAGGUGCACCCGGUGCAGUGCACCCGCGGCCGCUGACGAGCGGACCCGCCUACCAGCCGGGCCCGCUGGUCAGAGCGCAGAGGGGAGGAGCUCCGGCGAGCCGGAGCUCACCGUCGGCGACCUCUUUCGGCGAAUCAAGCGGCUCUACACGUUCUACGGCUCACGGCGGACCUAGGGCACCCAUUUGCGCGGCCUAAAACGGACCGGAGCAGGCUCGCCACCGGCCAUGGCGGAGCGGCGGCGCUGCUCGUCGUCGGUGCGGGACGCCGGCUUGGUAGAGCGUGGCUGGAAGGGCUUGCGAGCAUCGCGGUGCCAAGGCGGACACGAUGCGCCAACUACGCAGCACCGGAAGGCAUGGAAACGCGCGGACCACGCGUGCGGCGGCGGAGCUCUCGCCGGAGAAGAAAGCGAGGGCGAGCGGGGCUCACCGUGCCUUACCGAGCGCUCAGAUGCGCGUUCUGCAACGGCGGAGCGAGGGCGAAGCUCGGGGAAGAACUAAUCGAAGAAUGGCGCACGCACGGGGGAGGAACAGCCGAGGCGGAGCUCGGGCUCCAAUGGCGACGGUGGCGCUCUGCGCGUGCGGGGCGAGGGCGAGAGAGCGAGAGGGAGGGAGCUGAGGGGCGCAAAUGGGAGAGGGGACGGAGGCGAGCGCGACCGGGGCACCUGGUGGCCGACCGGGGCGCGUCCUCGCUGCCGCAUGCCCGCCACGCGGCGGCCGAGCCCUGCCGGCGUGCCACGGCGCCGCGGCGAGCGCUGUCCGCGCGCGGACGCGAGCGCGGGCGCGGGGAAGGGGGAGGGGAGAGCGCGGGCGGGCCGAGCCGGCUUCGGCCAGUGGGCCAGAAGCGAGGCCGCGGCCUGCUAGCGCCCCCUUUUCCCCUUUUUUUUUUUUUUAAAAUUCUUUUCUCAAAUCCUCUUCCAACAGCAUUUUGACUAUUUUCAAAUCAUUUUCACNNNNNNNNNNNNNNNNNNNNNNNNNNNNNNNNNNNNNNNNNNNNNNNNNNNNNNNNNNNNNNNNNNNNNNNNNNNNNNNNNNNNNNNNNNNNNNNNNNNNGAGUGUCAUGCUCAUGAUGCUUAUGCUUGAUGGAAUGCUUAUGCAUGGCUUUGUUGAGGCUAAGUGCAUGCUUGACACCUAGGGUGUUACAGCCCUCCCCCCCUUAGGGAAAUCUCGUCCCGAGAUUUUGGGUUACUAACCAUCUCUUAUGAAACUUUGGAUAAACUGUUUUUAAGUAAUCCUCUGUUUCCCAGGUGGCAUCCCUAUCGUCAUGAUGACUCCACACCACCUUAUAUGUUCUGACAACUUUGUUUCGGGUUACUCGCUCCUUGGUAUCCACGAUUCUCACUGGCUGCUCCUUAUAUUCCAAGUCCGCUUUUAUCUUGAUUCCUCGAGGUUCGAUUCUUUGCUCUGGCACCUUCAAACAUUUCCGUAGCUGCGACACAUGAAAGACCGGAAAGAUCGAGCUCAUCUCCUCAGGUAACUGAAUCUUAUAGGCCACUGGGCCUUUCCUCUCUAGCACUUGGUACGGUCCCACAUAUCUGGGUGCAAGCUUACUUCGAAUUCGGAAACGCUGAACUUUCUUCAUUGGCGUAACCUUGAGGUACACAUAGUCACCUAUGUUGAAUUCAAGUGGCCUUCUUCUCUUAUCGGCAUAACUCUUUUGUCGUGACUGUGCCGCUUGCAUAUGUUGCUGUAUGAUCUGCACCUUUUUCUCUGCUUCAUUCACGAAGUCGAUACCAUAGUAUCUUCUUUCACCAGGUUCAACCCAGUUUAAAGGAGUUCGACAUCUCCGCCCAUACAAAGCUUCGAACGGGGCCAUCUUGAUGCUCUCUUGAUAACUAUUAUUGUAGGAGAAUUCAGCCAAAGGUAACCACGAUUCCCAUGAUCCCUUGGAUGAUAGCACACAGGCCCUCAGCAUAUCUUCUAACACUUGAUUUAACCUCUCGGUUUGACCUGAAGUCUGGGGAUGAUACGCCGUGCUUCUUAUCAGACUGGUCCCCAGGCUCUUAUGCAUGCGCUCCCAGAAGUGAGCAGUAAACUGCGGUCCUCUAUCCGAUAUGAUAGCUUUGGGAAUACCAUGCAAUUUGACGAUCUCAGCCAUAUAUAUAUCAGCAUACUCGGGAGGUCUGUAACGAGUCUUCACAGGGAUGAAAUGGGCCGAUUUGGUUAAUCGAUCUAUGAUUACCCAAAUCGAGUCAUUCCCCUUCCUUGUGGUUGGUAAACCCGUGAUAAAGUCCAUACUGACCUCUUCCCAUUUCCACUCCGGCACCGAUAAAGGUUGCAACAGACCUGCAGGUUUCAUAUGGAUGGCCUUAACCCUGCAACACGUGUCACAACGGGCCACAUAAGCUGCUAUUUCUUUCUUCAUCUUAGUCCACCAAAAGUGGGGCCUUAGAUCUUGAUACAUUUUGCUGCUGCCCGGAUGAAUAGAAAGCUUAGAAAGAUGGGCUUCAUCCAUGAUGCGAUUCUUCAACUCCCGAUCUUUCGGGACCACUAACCGCUGUUGAAACCAUAGUACUCCCUUCUCAUCAACCCGAAACUGAGUCUUUGGGUCAUCUUUAAUCUUCUCUUUGAUGUGGAAAAUACCCUUGUCUGUUUUCUGACCUUCAAUGACUUGACUCUCGAGUGAACAACUGAGUUGUAUAUGGCAUAAGACCUCAGGAUGCAUAAGAUUGAACCCAUCUUCAAACAACGGUUGAAUCAUUUGAUAGUGCGGUUUGCGACUCAAAGCAUCUGCGACCACAUUGGCUUUACCUGGAUGAUAGUGAACUUCCAGGUCAUAAUCCUUGAUUAGCUCUAACCACCGUCGCUGCCUCAUAUUCAGCUCGGACUGCGUGAAGAUGUACUUCAAACUCUUGUGAUCGGUGUAAAUGUGACACUUAUUCCCUAGCAGAUAAUGUCUCCAGAUCUUCAAAGCAUGCACCACAGCUGCUAACUCAAGGUCGUGCGUUGGAUAGUUGACUUCAUGCUUUCUUAGCUGUCGGGAAGCAUAAGCUAUCACCCUGCCAUCUUGCAUCAACACACACCCCAGGCCACUCUUUGAUGCGUCACAAAACACAUCAAAAGGCUUCUCUAUAUUAGGUUGUGCCAGAACGGGAGCAGUGGUUAGCAACCUUCGCAAGGUGCGGAAGGCUAACUCACACCCUUCCGUCCAGACGAACUUAUGAUCCUUUUGUAGCAAACUUGUCAUUGGCUUAGCAAUCUUGGAGAAGUCAGGUAUGAAACGACGAUAAUACCCGGCCAGACCAAGAAAACUUCUAACUUCCGAGACAGAAGUUGGUGCCUUCCAAUCCAUGACUUCCUGCACUUUUGAUGGAUCCACGGCAAUUCCUUCUUCAGACAAAAUGUGCCCUAGGAACGGAACUUUCUUCAACCAGAACUCACACUUGCUGAAUUUGGCAUAUAACUGAUGCUCUCGUAAUCGGGUCAGCACGAUUCUCAGAUGUUCGGCGUGAUCUUGCUCAUUCUCUGAAUACACCAAGAUAUCAUCGAUAAACACCACAACAAACUUAUCCAAUUCUGGCAUAAAGACUGAAUUCAUCAGAUACAUAAAGUAUGCAGGAGCAUUUGUCAACCCAAAGGACAUGACAAGAUACUCGUACAACCCAUAUCUGGUGGAAAAAGCAGUCUUCGGGAUAUCUUGCGGACGAAUCUUGAUUUGGUGAUACCCGGAUCUCAAAUCUAUCUUGGAAAACACUCUGGCCUUGGAUAACUGAUCAAACAGGAUAUCAAUCCUUGGCAAGGGAUACUUAUUCUUGAUUGUCACUGCAUUGAGUGGACGAUAGUCCACGCACAUGCGCAACGACUGAUCCUUCUUUUUCACAAACAACGCUGGACAACCCCAUUCCGACGAGCUGGGCCGGAUGAACCCUUUUUCCAAUAAUUCCUUCAGUUGUUUCUUCAAUUCUGCGAGUUCAUUUGGGGGCAUCCGAUACGGCCUUCUAGAUAUUGGUGCUGUACCUGGUAUCAACUCGAUCGCAAACUCUACCUCCCUAUCUGGGGGAAGUCCUGGUAAUUCCUCAGGAAACACAUCCGGGAACUCACAUACCACGGGUAUGUGUUCUAAGGGAACUGCCUGUACUGCACACGAAAGACUGGCAAAGUCCAACCGCCGGGGUAACUUGAUCUGAAACACACCCUUCCCUUGCGGCUCUCUGAGGGAAAGAGUUCUGUUUCCAACAUCUAUAACCGUGCCCCAGUCAGUCAUCUUGUUCAUACCAAUGAUGACGUCCAAAACCAGUCCUGGCAUGACCACAAGGUUUACACGAAACCUCCGGCCACUGAUAUCCAAAGUAACCCCUGUUACCGUCUUAUUAGUCAACACAUCGGCCCCGGCUGAGCUGAUGCGAUAGCCAUAACCUAACUCAGUAACUGGCUGAUCAUGCUUUUGUGCAAAUGCUUGACUCAUGAAAGAAUGCGAUGAUCCAGAAUCAAACAAAACAACUGCAAGAUGUUGGUUGACAGGAAACAUACCAGCUGUUACCGGUUCUCCUUCCGGAAUUUCCUCAAUCGAGGUAUGAUGCACGCGAGCUGGAUAUGUUGGCUGCUGCCUCUUGGGGUAGGGACAUUCCUUAGCAAAGUGCCCCAUCUUGUGGCAGUUAUAGCACGGACCCUUGGGCGCGUUAUUGACGGCAGGUGCUGCAGCUUGAAUGGCCUUUGGCUUGGCAGGAGCUAUCGCCACCUUGUACGGCUUCUGCUGUGUUGGAUGCCCGGUGUUCCUUCUCUGCGGUGGUCGGAACCUAGCACCCGGGGCAGGAGGACGAUACUGCGGUCGCCCUGCCACUGGUGCCCUGAACUGGGAUGAUCCUGCUUCAAAAGCCCUUUUGCGUGACUUGGACGCACUGUAGUUGUUGUUAUUGUUCUCUUGGGUCAGACAGUCACUGAUAUAGGCAUUGAAAGUAGCCCUGGCCCCUGUACCCAUGGUCUUCAGCAUCUUUGGAUUUAAGCCUCUCUGGAAACUAGCAAUCUUCUUGGCCUCUGUGUUUACAAACUCAGGGGCAUAUCGAGCGAGAUUAUUGAAGGCAUGUAGAUACUCUUUUACAGAUUUCGUCCCUUGGGACAGCCUCAUGAACUCCCCAACCUUCAUUUCAACCAUACCAGGAGGAAUGUAAUUUCCCCGGAAAGCGGUGGUGAAGCGGUUCCAGGUGAUUGGUGUCCCCUCUGGGUAGGUGGUACGGUGAUGGGACCACCAAAUCCCAGCGGGUCCUUGCAACUGAUGUGCCGCAUACUCAGCCUUGAGUUCUUCUGUCAUUCGGAGAAGACGAAACUUCUGCUCCAUGGUGUUGAUCCACUCAUCCGCUUCGAGCGGUUCCAAGGCCUCCUUAAAGAUUGGUGGCUUGGUGUCCAGGAAGUCCUUGAACGAGCUGUACUGGUUGACCUCUCGACCGCCCUGAUUAUCUCCACGACGGGUGUUGUCAGCUAUGUUGCGCAAAGCUUCUUCCAUAUUGCGCUGCAUCUGUUCCAUGUUGCGUUGGCUUCCCAGAAACUGCGCGAAAAACACAUCCGCAGUGUACGGGGGAGGUGGUGGUGGUGUUGGUGCUUGAUCCUCAUUCCGUUGAGCCCCAUUUCCAGAUGCACUUGCUCCAAGACCUGGAUGGCCGUUACCCCCGCCACGUGUUUGUACCAUCUGCAUAUGCCAAUGAUAAGCAAUCGUUAGGAGUUGCCAUCAACCGGUAGGAAAUGUGUAAAAUCGUGCCAUACUGAAUUUACUGAGGGAAUAAAUUCACACAAUAAACAAAGGCACAACAACUCAUUAUCCACGCACAACAUCACUAACAGAUUACUUAUCAUUCACGCAACAAGGUUCGCGUACAUCCAACUUGCCAGCAUACAUACACUGGACUUUCCGUACCAACUCAUAAAGUCUUACACAGCCCAGAUCCAAAAGUACAUGACAUGCCACGCACAUACAUCACAAAAGAGAGAAGACUAGCUCUAGGGCCCUAGCAUCUACUCGCUGUGGUCACUGUCCAUGCCAGAGCCAUCCUCAUCCUCGUCACCGCUAGCAGCUGCUCCUAUCUCGGGAUCCGCGUCCAUCUCGUCCUCAGAGUCUAGCUCCGCUGCCCCAGGAAGGUGGUGAGGGUGGAGCUGGUUAUGCAGCUGGUGGAUCUCCUCAUGCAAGUUCUCAUUGUACUCCUCGGCAUUAGCUAGCUGCUGCUCUAGCUCUAGCUGUCGGGCCCUCAAAGUGUCCUCCUCGUGCCAGGCUUCAUUCCUCUGUCCAAGCACAUGGACUAGCAUGCGCUCGCAGUUCCUGUGAGCAGUAGUCACCCUGUCCUUCUGCUCCCGUACUGCGAGCAGGUCCUGACUCAGCUCACUGCUCUGCUGGACGGCCUGGUCUCUCUCUCUGGUCACACGAGCCAACUCUGCCUGUAGCCUCUCAACCUCAGAGUCAAACUCACGCUGCAACUGACGCUUCUCAUCCUGGACGGUGAGAAGAGACCCGGACAAGCGACCCAAACAACGCUCUAGGCCUCCAUAGGUCUUCAUCAACGCGUACAUGGCACUCAUAGCUGCACUGUCACUGUGCUGGUCCUCAUCCGCACUCCUCUCUAGAGCAUUCACCUCGGACUGAUCCCACACCGAAGUGUAAGGGUCACCCCGGGGAAACACCCCAGCGAAGGCGUGGGCCAGCUCCUGUGGAAACCUCUCCAUGAGGUCCCUCAGAACUGCAAAAGCUGCCCUGCUGGCACCGUGGAAAGGCGUGACACCUCGGGACUCGUACACCCAGCCGCCCCAAGCAGGGUCUCCUCCGCUGGUAGGGACAACUGCCUCGAUCCCCACCAGGGUCUCGUCACCAAGCGGCUCCUUGUCCCAGUAGUAGCGAGGCUCCCUUCCUUCGGGAUACCCCAUCGAACUGAGCACCCUCCAAAGCAAAGUGGGCAUCCCAAACUCCUCUAGGAACUUGCUCUUAUGCCGCGAGCUCCUAGCUGCCAACGGAUGGCGAGGGGCCCGCCCACCAGUGGACUUGCGAGCCGUGAGCCUAGUGCGUGCCAUCUGCUGCAAAUGGAAUACCGUGGGUAAGAGCGAGGAUUACCUUUAGUUAUUUUGUUUAGAAUUGAGACAGAUUAAAUUAAGGGGGAAAGUAAGCAAUGAUAUGAAAUGCACAUGAUGCAUGUACGAACUUACGAUCUCACAAACUUAGAAAACAAAGGUUAACACUAAGCGGUAUAUNNNNNNNNNNNNNNNNNNNNNNNNNNNNNNNNNNNNNNNNNNNNNNNNNNNNNNNNNNNNNNNNNNNNNNNNNNNNNNNNNNNNNNNNNNNNNNNNNNNNUCCACAUCAUCGCCCUAAUGACGGCAUCGUCUCUCAGGACGGAAUUCCCAGCAUGCGGUACUGUUCCCAAGACACACCAACAUGUGUGCAUGACACAGCACCUGACAACACUUCCCUAGACCGGCAGUGUAUCCGAUCAUGCUCUCACAACUCCCACUUACCAUGGCGUAGAGGAAGAAUUGAUCCAUACAUUACCACUCAAAUGAAUGGCACUCAUACUAUUGCACGCCGUAUGAGCGACGAAAUGAAAAUAUGAUGCAUUAACCCCCGAGUCAGUACUUAGCUAGCCACCUUAGAGUCCUUAACUGGGCAUAAAGGAUAUGACCAUGGCACACUAGAUAGUUUUUCCAAAACUCAGUUUAACACCUUGAUCUUUAUAAAUUACUAAAAUUUUUCAUUAAACCGUUCUAGGCUUUUGUUUAGAAGGUACUUAUGAACAGUAACUCGCUAAACUUUGCUCCGAUGCCAGCUGUAACAGAACCGACCAAAUUAUAAGAGAUUAAGCCUGAUAGUGACCAUUUGCGUAGUCGAACUAUCACGCUUAAGCCCAUAUAAUCCCGGUAGUCCGUGAAAUCUCGAAGGAUUUCAAACCACACUUCACAUAACAGCCAAGAUCGUAAUAAGUUUAGCGGUCGCCAUCCACAAGUACAUCCAGAUUACAACAUUCAUAAAAUACAUCGGAGUGCUUAAAGUUAUUACAAACCAAGUUCUUCAAGUAGCGGAAGCUUCAUAAUUCGAAAAUACAACACACACGAUAAGUCUGGUACAGUGCCAUAGUUCGGUCAUUCCCACAAAAGCAAAGGAAGAGACGGAGUGACCAUCGCCCUUGGUCUAGUCAUCACCCAUAGCUGGGUACAGACAGAGGAUGCAAUAACCAUAAUACAUUUGACCAUCUGCAAAACAACAUGGGAAUAGAACCCUGAGUACAAGAAGGUACUCAGCUAGACUUACCCGUCAUAACUUAAAAUAAAGACUCAUCAAGGAUCAUGAAGGCUAUAUAGUGGGGUAGCUGACGACAUCUUUGCAAAACCGCAGUAUUUCACUAACGUAACUUACCUAAGUCUUUCUUCUUUUAAUUAGCUCAAGUUGACAGUAUGAUUACCUAUUAUCUAGGUUUGCUCUUGUGCUAUUACAAACAAGUGUGAGACUAUGAUAGAACCUCAUCAUAGCACUUCUUAAACCAUUCAUCAUUAUAACCCAAGUGUUCCAUAGUCCUUACUACGAGGACAGGGCUCAUGUCAAGUGCUCACUAUCCAGGAGCGAUGGCGAUUCGAAUCGAUUUCUGACCAGCUGGCGAGUUUAUUCCCCACACAAACCACACUCACUGAUCAAGUGAGCUACAGGUCACCGUGUUGCACUAUCCAGGACCAAUUCGCGGGUUCGACAGGCACCGCCCGUACCCGAGGACCGUUCCGGCGACCGAGGUAUCCAAGGUAUACCAAGGUUGCGCGCCGCGCCCUCGUCGUUCUCCUCAACCAUCACCAAUACAGCGCGUACAUCGGGCCGAUUCCCGGCCCGGAUAGUGCUCAGGCUUCGCGGUCGGAACGACUUAUCCUUCCAGCUAAAUGUGGGGCAUGCGUUCAACAUGACAAGAGGGCCGUCAACGAUCGGUCCUUAAUCGACACAGGCAGGGGCACUAUGGGCAACCCACCAUAAGACCCUGCCCAGUCUCCAAUUACAUUCCACACUCGGUUAUUUCUUUCCCCAAGCAACUAUUGCUUAAACAAACGGGUAUCCACCUAUAUCUCGCAGGUGACAGGGAAUCACCCGACUUCUACCGGACUAAGCAGGCUAAGCAUAGACUCCGCGCCUAUCUACAUAGGACAAGGUGGAUAAACGAGUAGGGAUAACAAGGAAUACAUAUGCAACAACGGUAUCAAGCAACUCCUAUUACUUAUAUGCAAUAUAGUAGAACAAGUGUAAUAUACUUAGUAGGUUAGCGAGACUAGGGAGACUUAGAAUGCUCCGGGGCUUGCCUUUCUCAAACGUGCUGGGUCGGUGAUCCGGGCACUCUUGCAGUUCCUCUCCGGGCUCUUGUACUUCCGGAGGUUCCUGCUCCUGAAGCUCCUCGGGUUCCUCGGGUCUCACUUCGUUCUCCUGCGAGCCUGUAUGAUGCAUAUAUGCUCAUGAGUGGAGUGCGAGAUGCCCGAGUGGAUGCUUAUAUGAGAGAGUACCAAAAGAGUCAUGUUAUGAUGCAUAGGUAAUGCACUUGAUCAUGCUCAUUACAAGGUAGUCAACAUCAUCCAAGAAUAAACAAUUGAAUCAAACAUCUAUUAUAUUCUCUUCUAUAAUUAUUUUUCAAAUGACAUCAGCAACCUACAUGGUGCUUCAAAGAUACACCAAACCUAACUCAUUCCAUUCCACCUAUAUAUACAACCAAUUAUAGUUUUCUUUAUUCAUUCCUAAGCCCAUUAAAAAUCACAUGCAACUCUGUUCAUCAAUAAAUUCCAGAAAAAUUACAGGAGACUACUAGCUAAUCAUAAAGUCUACUGUAAAUUUUUCAUAAUUUUUGGUUACUUAUUUUGAGUCACAAAAAUCACAAGAUUAAUGGAUAAGGCAAGUAAAAUCACCCUACUGUGAUAUAAGUGUCAAACAACAGAUUUCAUAUUUUUACAAUUUACCUAAUAUCAUAAGAAACAUCCACAAAAUUUUCCAGAUUUAUUGCAUGACUCCAUUAAUUAUUAAAAAUCAUAAAGCACUGCCAUGCAAGCAUUUAAAUUGCCAUAAAUUCAUUUAUACACCAAAUAAUAUGUAACAAUAUUUUCUCAGUGAGUAAACACACAUGCAAAGCCAACAAAUCAAGUUUCACAUUUUUCUGAACCAUAUUUUAUUUAUUAUGCAUUUUCCAAGUUUAACAAAAACAUGGAUUAAUUAUACUUACACAGAAAAGUUACUUAAACAUGACAUGCAAUCAUACUAGGAUGUAGAUCUGGAAAUAAGGAACACACCAAAAUUUAUUUCACCAUUUUUGGAGCUAUAUUCAUCAAGAUAUGGAUUUUUAAACAUUUAAAUCAUUUCCUGGGAAUUAUUUUUCUGAAAACAAAACAAAAUCCAUCCCGAGACCUGCUAGGUGCACCCGGUGCAGUGCACCCGCGGCCGCUGACGAGCGGACCCGCCUACCAGCCGGGCCCGCUGGUCAGAGCGCAGAGGGGAGGAGCUCCGGCGAGCCGGAGCUCACCGUCGGCGACCUCUUUCGGCGAAUCAAGCGGCUCUACACGUUCUACGGCUCACGGCGGACCUAGGGCACCCAUUUGCGCGGCCUAAAACGGACCGGAGCAGGCUCGCCACCGGCCAUGGCGGAGCGGCGGCGCUGCUCGUCGUCGGUGCGGGACGCCGGCUCGGUAGAGCGUGGCUGGAAGGGCUUGCGAGCAUCGCGGUGCCAAGGCGGACACGAUGCGCCAACUACGCAGCACCGGAAGGCAUGGAAACGCGCGGACCACGCGUGCGGCGGCGGAGCUCUCGCCGGAGAAGAAAGCGAGGGCGAGCGGGGCUCACCGUGCCUUACCGAGCGCUCAGAUGCGCGUUCUGCAACGGCGGAGCGAGGGCGAAGCUCGGGGAAGAACUAAUCGAAGAAUGGCGCACGCACGGGGGAGGAACAGCCGAGGCGGAGCUCGGGCUCCAAUGGCGACGGUGGCGCUCUGCGCGUGCGGGGCGAGGGCGAGAGAGCGAGAGGGAGGGAGCUGAGGGGCGCAAAUGGGAGAGGGGACGGAGGCGAGCGCGACCGGGGGCACCUGGUGGCCGACCGGGGCGCGUCCUCGCUGCCGCAUGCCCGCCACGCGGCGGCCGAGCCCUGCCGGCGUGCCACGGCGCCGCGGCGAGCGCUGUCCGCGCGCGGACGCGAGCGCGGGCGCGGGGAAGGGGGAGGGGAGAGCGCGGGCGGGCCGAGCCGGCUUCGGCCAGUGGGCCAGAAGCGAGGCCGCGGCCUGCUAGCGCCCCCUUUUCCCCUUUUUUUUUUUUUAAAAAUUCUUUUCUCAAAUCCUCUUCCAACAGCAUUUUGACUAUUUUCAAAUCAUUUUCACCAUUUUCACCCAAAAGCAAAGUUGCUCCAAAAUAAAAACUCUACAACUUUGUUUUAACAAGCAAGACCAAAUUCCAAACAGAAUUUGAAUCACAAGUUAAAACUCAGUUCUAGGUUUUAAAUAAAUACCUUUUGGAGAUUUUUGUAUAAAUUCCAUUUCUCAAAUUCCAUAGCUCCAAAAAUUGCACAAAAAUAUUCUAAAUUCUUCUUACACAUAAAGCAACCUAAUUUGAAUUUUUCACAAUUUUAGAAGCAAGUAUCAUAUUUUUAUCAUAUUUAAAACACAUGAAAUGAAGCACAUAAAAUCAUACUUUGCUCAAGAGUGUCAUGCUCAUGAUGCUUAUGCUUGAUGGAAUGCUUAUGCAUGGCUUUGUUGAGGCUAAGUGCAUGCUUGACACCUAGGGUGUUACAGCCACCAUCGACGACCGAGCCCCGGCCGAACCCCGACGACCGCGGCACGACCUUGCCCCCGCGCCACCGAGCCUCGGUCCCGUCCGCCGCGACGACGCCAUUAGACCGCGGGCACGCCAUGGUCGCCACGUCCAGGAACGACGCACCCGCGACCCCAUCGCCGAGCAGGAGCUUCGCCAAGCCUCGACGCCAUCCUAGUCGUGCCACCGCGAGCACGUCGCCCCUCCGCGUCGUUCUCGCCCUGAAGCUCUGCCACGCCGCCGAAGCCCACGACGCCUUGCUUGUGCCCCGUUGCCCCGCGCACCUGCACCGCCGAGCAGCAGUAGAGCCGCGGCCACGGCCUAGUGCUGGACCCCCGACCACGCGCGUCGCGUCCUCACCGCGUGGUCACCACGGCGAGCAGGAGCCCGAGCGCCACCGCUUGGCGCCCCCACAACCCACGACGCCUCCGUCUCCGUCCAUGUCGGCCGUGGUGACUGCAACCCCGACCCCGACACCAGUCUGUGCCACUCCGCGACGUCAUCCACGGCCUCGCCCCAAGCCCAGGACCGUGCGUGACCUACUCCGCCACCACCCGAAGCACCCCCACCUCGACGUCAUGGAGAGGUGCUGCGAACCCGAGCGCCGAGCACCUCCCUGUCUACAACCUCACCGAGCACGACGCCGAGCUCGCCACAGCGCUGCCGAGCCCCCUUGGUGCCCCGCGACGCCAAGCACCGCCGCGACCAGUACCUCGACGCGCCCUCGCCAAGCCUGCCCCUGCCGUCGGUGAGCCACCAGUGCCCAAGUCCCCUUCUUUUCCCCUUCUGUCACGUUCCCGACUGAGACCGGCCUUCGUGCCGCGAUUCCUCCACUGUACAGGGAAGCUACAGCCAUGUUGUACCACUGCCGGAGCCGCUGGACUUAACGUCGCUACUGUCGGAGCACCGAACCACGAGGCGUUGCCGAACCACAAGACUUCUCCUCCAGCUCCACCUGUGCCAAGCCGCAGCAGCGCCUCAUACGCACCAAGGUCGAACCUUGAACUGAGUUGACGCCUUUCGUGACGUCGACAAAACCCAUGCCCUUUUUCUUAUACAUUUGUAUACUUGUGAUACUUGAUCUUAGUCAUCUAUGCAUGAUUUAUCUAUACCCAUGUCUGUGCCGUGCCUUCAUGCCGGUCUAUUUAUUUAUCUAUCUGUUUAUCUAUCUCUGUUGGUCGCCAUGGGAAUGUGCUACUCCAUUUGGUCUUUGGGUUGGUCAUGGCAUUGUGGUUCUUUGUGCGCUGGUUCUUGAGUGUGUGUGCUGUCAUCUGUGGACCGUGCCUUCGAGCCGGUCGGGGAAAUCGUUCUACGUUGAUCAUUUCGAUCGUGGGUUCAUCCCACUGUGAUCGCGAUGCCGAGCGUAACGCAUUCCUCGUGUUUAGUUGACUUCGUUAAACUACGGCCGUUAGCUCCUAUCCCCAUCCCUAGGAUUUGAUCAUUGCAGACUCAAUAUUCAUAACAACGCGGUUCUUACCCGCACCUUCGAGUCCUCAGUGAUCUAGUCUAGUGGGAUACAGAUUAGGAGCAACCUUGUGGAAUAGUCGGAAGCCAACUCGUUAGGAGAAGAUCAUGGCCGCGAGUCCACCUCGCCAUGGCCAUCGGGCUUAUCCCAUUUUCCUCGUAUGUUUAUCUUAUCUGUCUCGUAUGCUUAUGCCACCUAGACCCAGGCAUUUUCCUAUUCCCGCAGUGACAACCGCAUCGCCUGGAACUACAGGAAUGACCUUGUGCUGAUUCAGAAGCACCUAGGUCGUGAAGUGUUAUGAGUUGGUGUAGUUCAUGGGGUCGUGUUUAUUUCUCCAACUGUCGUUUGUUCUAUGGCGAGUUGGUUGAAAGAGUGUGAUUUCGUUCUUCUUCUCUCUAGUUCUCAAUCCCCGUCGAUCCAGUAAGAUGUGGAUUGAGCCCCUUUUGCUUGUUCGAUGUUUUGUUUCCAGUCCCGCGAUUCCCGCCGUUGCUUUGGCGAGCGGAUCAAUGGAAAGUGAAGCCCGUGUCUUUUCUUUUCUUUUUGGUUCUUCGUGUUUAAACUCUUGUAUGCUUGUACCUAUUCGACCGUAGCAUUUCUUUGGUUCUCGUGGUGACAGCCGCACGGCUAAGAACCCUGGUGAUGUCUUAGUGCAUUUAGUGCACCUAGGUUGUGGUACCCUACAAGUAGUUUGCGCACUCGUGUACUUGUGUGUCACUCUCUCUGAUUCCCUGUCUGUUACCAUGGUGGGUAGAUUGGAAGGAGUAGACCACUUCCCUUUUCUUCUCUCUUGUUCCACCCUCUCUUGGCUCUUGCCAACUACAAUGGCGUAUGGAUUGAGAGAGACCGGAGCUUCUCGUGCUCGUAGUCUUUUUGAUUCCUGUCGAUCUCUAUGACACUUGGAUCGAAAGACCGUAAGCUGUGGUGUUUGCUUAGAAUGAGUUAGAGUCUAAGACAUUUAUGAAAGUCGUAUAGGUUGACUCAGUUGACCCGGGAAGUACCGGCUAGGCCAAGACUCCAGCUUGUACUUAGUGAACAACCAUUCCCAUUUCUUUUAGCCCAGGGAUCGGACAUCCGUCGAGAGGGCUAAGCUGUUUUCCUUUCGUUGCUCUUUUAGUGUAGUUGUUCCUCAGUGUUCUGUCGUCUCUUUUCGCAGUCUUUCUAGGUCUAGCGGUUUGAUUGUUUCGCCUUGUUAGUCGCUUUCGAGGUAGUUGCUUCGGUUAGCGUUGAUCGGAUCAGGACCCGUUGGAGGGAGGACAUGCAGAAAGGAGGAUCUCGGAUGAGAACAACUACAAGUGCACUGUGGAUCUUGGAAAUGACAUUCAACAGGUGCCACGUCCCACCCAACCUCGUAGAAUCCUAUUAGACAUGCAAUAAUGUAGAUGCUAGUGCUUUACUUUUAUGCAAAUGAACUGAGAUAGGUUGCAUGAUAGAAAUGCUUGUGAGCCAUUGUCUUGUUGCAACCUAUAACCCUCGCACACCCGCUGUAAGGUUAGAUGCUUGCAUACUACUUGCUACUGCUUCUACUACGCAUUAUAUCUGUGAUGUGAUGCAAUGUGGGAGAUUGGAUGUGAGUGGAUAAGGCACGUGGUGCCAAUAACUGGAUAAUGAGAUGGUAAUGGAUUUGGGGAGAUCUUGGCGUGUGUCUUGGGUGUGUGGUGAGGGUUGAGUCGACUGAGCAGGAUCUACGACGAGUCUUGGGACAAGUCUUGCCGGAGGACGCUACCUGGGCGUUCUCCAUGAGAGAUACAUGUGGCGGGUACAUGUGACAGGGAGAGGUCCCGGAGUGGAGUGUCUUCGUGGGACGAAGCGUCGGGAUGGGAGGUGCUGUUUAGCACGGGGUAAUCGGAUGUCCCGUCGAGCGGGGCAUCGGUUGGCCCCUCGUGAAGAUGUCCUGUUUGGUCACCCUAAGGACUGAGAUGUUCUGUGGACCGGGUCUUAGGAAGCCUUGCACCCCACUCGCUCUUAUGGGGAGGAGACGGAUGUACGACCAGCUAGGGCGGUGCCACUACUACUAGGUUGUUAGCGGAUAGUGUAGGGAGGUACGGGCAUGAGGACCCACACCCUCC
rnacentral:lncRNA from 1 species